AACUGGUCGAAGGUAGUGCAUUAUCUCAAUAGAUUGUUCACGGUCAGUUACAGAUCGCACUCCUCAUUCUACUCUUCCCCCCCUUCUCACUACUGCACUUGACUAGUCUUAA
rnacentral:Y_RNA from 1 species